rfam:Danio rerio chromosome 25 genomic contig CTG2378, GRCz11 reference primary assembly.
CAAACGGCUCUUUUAAGAGCCACCCACAUAUUAGUAAAGAGCAUU